UCUCGAUCCUUCCUCAUUCCACUAUCCCAGAAACCCACCGCCUCAUAACCCGUCUGAGGUUUUCCUCUUCUUACACCUGAUCGGAAAUCGCUCCUCCGCUUCUUCUGUCUUCCUCACUGCCCGGAACUUUUAGGCGGUGGCCAAUCGUCAACCGUUGGUAGCCGACUGGUACCGUAGAGUAUGAUAAAUCCAGCGCCUUCAUCUGUGUCAGUGUGGUGCUUCAAUGGUGAAGGUUGGCUUCGCUAGAUUUACUUCCCUCUGUAGAAUAUUGUUGGUUUCUAGCAUACCCCCAUGCCUCCGCUUCUCGCAUCUCCGACGUCGUCUCCCGCUCUCUACUAUCACCAUCCUCGAUUCAGCUUCCAAAAUGGCGGCCAUCCACCUCAAAGAGAAGUCACACGAGGCAGCGUUUUUCGCCACCGGCACCGGGGACCUCAUGAAACGGUGGAUGAAUGGAUUUCUCAAAGAAUAUUAACAACGAUUACAUUCUAUUCACAAAUCGGCUAUUUCCGAAGGGAUUCAUGGGGUUGUCAAUUUCCAGUUUUUAAAUCGAUUUUAAAUUGAAAGCAGGAGGAUUUUGGAAUGAAUAGUUUUCCUGUAUCGCCAGCACAAUUCCGUCCAUUGAAUGAACCAAGUCCUUUGGGGUUAGGCCAACUAACCACUAGCAGGCUACACCAUUGGGCACAUGGUCUGUAUUUGAUGAAAUGAUCUUAAUACACUCUUUCUUUUCAGCAAAAGGCAAAUCAUCCAAAAAGAAUGAUUGUACUGCAUCUUAACAUGAAAAGUAACAAAAAAAUAUUGAAUUUACUAUGUCUUACAUUUAACUAAUAAAUGCAAGAAUCGAUCAAAAAACAGAAGAAAAAGAGAAAAAUAAAUUCUCAUAAGACUGAACUCGAAGGUGCACACACCCCUAAGCCCCUGCAUUAACUAUUAAGUGAAGUAUCAAAGGUAAACAACCUUUCCCUCUUCCUCUUCAGAUUCUCUUUAGUUGUUGUAUAACCUAUAUUUGUUGUAGCUAACUUUAAAAAAUGUUGAUGGUAUGUACAAAAAGUUGCAAAUAAUUUUUUUUUUUAUGAUCAAUACCCUUCAACAUUUGGUAAGUUUUCUUAUAGAAAAUUGAAAACUAUUUUAGAUAAAUCUACUAAGGUGCUUUGGGUUGUCAUUUUCCGAUUUAAAAUUGCUUUAUUUAGCUUCUUUUUUGGUUUUUUGAUGAUUUUUUAUGUUCAAUAGAUACAGAUGACCAACCUAGAUACUGCCAUCAUCUUCUUUUUGCGUUACUCAGAAAAGACUUAGCUUGAAGAACUUUCUAUUCAAGUGAUUCAUCUGUUACUGAUAAACACACAUCAAAUUUUGGCUAUGAAAAGCUGGAAUCUGAAUUUCAUCAAGAUGUUUUUCCAACACAUGUUAGUUAUUGGUUAAUAAAAAUCGUUUUAUGAUUAGUAGCCAAAAUAUGUGAAAAAAUCACAGUAUUUAUCCUUUUUUUUAAAAUUUCCUUUAAUACCCUUUUCAUGUUUAUACAUAAGGAGUGAAGAAAUAGUUCAGAGGCUUUGUUGGUAUUAUUAAUGUCGUCUAUUUACCCUUAACACUUAGUACUUAUAGCUAUAAAUACAUUUAAAGUUGACAUUAAUUUUUUAUUAUUAUGUGUGAUAUUUUGAAGGCUUAUAUGUGUUUUUUGCAGUUCCCAGUAAAUGUACUUCAAGAAAUUAUUUUCAAGUUGAAUGAGUCAAUGAAGUGUCUUGGUAGACUUACAUUUGUUUGGAACAGUCUACUGCAUUGUUUACUUAAAGUAGGGAAUUUGCAGGUUGCCGAGGGAGCAAAGCUAUGUAGACGUAAAAGGAUCAUUGGUGUUGAUGUGAACCAAGACAGGUUUGAAAUUGGGGCAUAAAGGGUUCAAGUAAGUACACAUUUUGGGAAGAUUUUGCCAUAUUUCAUUGUCCAAAACUUUCAACUACAUCAAUGAAGUUACAACACAAUGGUAUGAAGAAAGACAUGAAUUCAAAAAUGCCCCAUCCUACUGCGAAAAGAAUUGCCCAGCGGAGUCGCCACUUCACCUUCUCUUCCAAGAAGUUUAGGUCAGCCUGAUAAUUUACCUACCCUGCUCAGGGUCAAGAUGGAAAAAAAUGGAAGGUUUUGUGUAGAGCCUCACCUGGACAUGUUUAUGUUGGUUUCAAUAGCUUGAAGUGUCAAUCAUAUUCCAAAGCCUAUGGUUUCUGGAUCAGGGGGUAAGGCAUUUACAACUCCACAACUUGAUCGGUUAACUUAUAUAAGCUACAAUAAACUGUGGAGUGGAACGAACCAUCCCAUUCCGUUCUCAUGUUUACUUGGUUGAAAAUAAGGAUGUAUUUUCAUUUGUUUGUGUAUUAACAUAUACCAUCCUACGUCUAUUUCCUUAUAGUAAACUGAAAUUAAAGAUUUUUUGUUACUAAGGCAUUGUACCUUUUACUUAAAUGAGAUAUGAUGGCUUUGCCUCUUGCAAACA